rnacentral:rRNA from 1 species
GACGAACGCUGGCGGCGCGCUUAAUACAUGCAAGUCGAACGAGAAGCCAGAGCUUGCUCUGGUGGAAAGUGGCGAACGGGUGAGUAACACGUGAGAAACCUGCCCCAAAGAUUGGGAUAAGCCUUGGAAACGAGGUCUAAUACCAAAUACCUUCUUUUAACACAUGUUAAAAAGAAGAAAUGCUCCGGCGCUUUGGGAUGGUCUCGCGAUCUAUCAGCUUGUUGGUGAGGUAACGGCUCACCAAGGCAUCGACGGAUAGCUGGUCUGAGAGGAUGUCCAGCCACAUUGGAACUGAGACACGGUCCAAACUCCUACGGGAGCAGCAGUAGGGAAUCUUGCACAAUGAGGGAAACCUUGAUGCAGCGACGCCGCGUGCGGGACGAAGGCCCUAGGGUUGUAAACCGCUUUCAGUAGGGACGAAAGUGACGGUACCUACAGAAGAAGACCCGGCCAACUAUGUGCCAGCAGCCGCGGUAAU